CCUACGGGAGGCAGCAGUAGGGAAUAUUGCUCAAUGGGGGAAACCCUGAAGCAGCAACGCCGCGUGGAGGAUGAAGGCUUUCGGAUUGUAAACUCCUUUUGUUAGAGAAGAUAAUGACGGUAUCUAACGAAUAAGCACCGGCUAACUCCGUUCCAGCAGCCGCGGUAAUAUGGAGGGUGCAAGCGUUACUCGGAAUCACUGGGCGUAAAGAGCGCGUAGGCGGGUUAGCAAGUCAGAUGUGAAAUCCUAUGGCUUAACCAUAGAACUGCAUUUGAAACUGUUAUUCUAGAGUAUGGGAGAGGUAGGUGGAAUUCUUGGUGUAGCGGUGAAAUGCGUAGAGAUCAAGAAGAAUACUCAUUGCGAAGGCGGCCUGCUAGAACAUAACUGACGCUGAUGCGCGAAAGCGUGGGGAGCAAACAGGAUUAGAUACCCGUGUAGUC
rnacentral:rRNA from 1 species